rnacentral:rRNA from 1 species
UACGUAGGCAGCGAGCGUUGUUCGGAGUUACUGGGCGUAAAGGGUGUGUAGGCGGUUCCUUAAGUUUGUUGUGAAAUCUCCCGGCUCAACCGGGAGGGUGCGGCGAAUACUGAGGAGCUAGAGUGCGGGAGAGGAAAGUGGAAUUCCUGGUGUAGCGGUGAAAUGCGUAGAUAUCAGGAGGAACACCGGUGGUGUAGACGGCUUUCUGGACCGUAACUGACGCUGAGACACGAAAGCGUGGGUAGCGAACAGG